CAAGCUGGAACUCAGUUCACAUGAAACCACAGGUUUGGAUAUAAAGCAGAAGUGCCUUUUGGUGUUGGUGAAACAGUAGACAGAAAAGCACUGGCUCCCAGAAACCACUUGGAUGUGUCCCCUGAAAAAUGCUGUGCUGCAGAGGAAAGACAAGUUGAAGGGAGGUUUCUGUUCAACUGCAGGUUCACGUGGCUACUAGGAUUGUCCCUGAAAAGGUCCCUGAUUAGUAACAGAAAUGAGCUACAAUAAGGAAAUGUUAACAAGGAUUUAAAGAAGAUCCAAAAACAAAGUUGAACGUUCAGAUGUCUUCAAUUCACAUCCACAAACCCUCAACUGCUGAGCUAAGAAGAAUAAAGGGAGCUACUAUCAGCUUGGCGUUACAGAUUUGGAUUAAAAAUAAUUGAACACAUAAAAACCUUCUGGCAUAAAAAAACCACUUACCAGGAUCCAAAUGAAUGACAGCAAAUGGAAGAGCUCCCAAAUGGAUGAAUAGGACAAAAAUACAGCAACAAUGAAGCCAGCAAAGAAAGAGGUAGUUAGGACGAGGGGUAAGCACUGGACUUCAAGGUCCAGAACAAAAAUAAUGCCUGCAGUCAGUGGAAUGUCAGAGCCCCAGUCCAGACCUUUUAUGGCCAGGGGGAUGCUAUAAAUAUAGCAUGGAAGAGGGAGAGAGACAGAGACAGAUACCGAUACCCUGUACUAUCUCUGUGCAAAGACAUGAUGACGGCAGCUUCAAACUAAAGGAGAUACAGAGUUCUUCUUUUAAAAUAUCCUCACUAAAAUCUACAUAAAAUCAGCAUUCCAAUUAAAAAUUAUUUCUACGAUUUUUUUUCCUUAGUUAAAUCAGAUUUAGAAGGAGAGAAAAAAAAAAAUGUGUCAUGAACGAGAAACUAGGAAAGACCAAUCCCUGUGUUGACCUUUGCUAUGGUACAAGAAUUUGAACAUUUUAUUGGUUCUUUUUUUAAUGCCAAGCCACACUACAUGUAAUAUAGAUAUUUCAGCUUAAUGACAGACAAUCUAUCAAGACUCUCUAAAGUCAUAUGAGUUACAUUUCAACAGAGAGGUAUUUUCUUUGUUCUGUUGACAGGGUUACUUUUUUAUCAUCUUCUUUAAGAUAAAAUGCUAAAUUAAGAACAUGACCUCAUGAGGCAUUUAAGUAGAUACAAACAAUGCAGCUCUAAAAUCCAACUUUUUGCUUCUAAAUUAAACAGUAUUACCUCUAGGAAUAAUUAAAUGGGCUUGUCUUCUUUCAUUUUGGUCCCAGCAUUCUGGCAUAAAAAUGAGUAAUCAGUGUGGCUGAAUAUAACAUCAGAACAAGUUCUGUCACUGGAGAUCUAAUAGGUGGAAUGCAGUGUGACUUCAUUGUAAAUACAACUUUCCUCUGUCCUGUAAAUUUAGCUUUCAAUAAAAGUGAUUAGUGCAUUUCAUUUUGUUCAUUUGCAUUGACAGAAAUAUUAACCCUCUCAGUUCUGCUAUAGCUUCUUUUCACACUUGCCAUGCAACACAACCAAGAA